UACCAGACUCCUACGGGAGGCAGCAGUGGGGAAUAUUGCACAAUGGGGGAAACCCUGAUGCAGCGACGCCGCGUGAGUGAGGAAGUAUUUCGGUAUGUAAAGCUCUAUCAGCAGGGAAGAAAAAAUGACGGUACCUGACUAAGAAGCACCGGCUAGAUACGUGCCAGCAGCCGCGGUAAUACGUAUGGUGCAAGCGUUAUCCGGAUUUACUGGGUGUAAAGGGAGCGCAGGCGGUACGGCAAGUCUGAUGUGAAAGCCCGGGGCUCAACCCCGGUACUGCAUUGGAAACUACCGGACUGGAGUGUCGGAGGGGUAAGUGGAAUUCCUAGUGUAGCGGUGAAAUGCGUAGAUAUUGCGCAGAACUCCGAUUGCGAAGGCAGCAUACCGGCGGCGAUCUGACGCUGAGGCACGAAAGCGUGGGUAUCGAACAGGAUUAGAUACCCCUGUA
rnacentral:rRNA from 1 species